AUUGAACGCUGGCGGCAGGCUUAACACAUGCAAGUCGAGCGGGGUGAUGGUGCUUGCACUAUCACUUAGCGGCGGACGGGUGAGUAAUGCUUAGGAAUCUGCCUAUUAGUGGGGGACAACAUCUCGAAAGGGAUGCUAAUACCGCAUACGUCCUACGGGAGAAAGCAGGGGAUCACUUGUGACCUUGCGCUAAUAGAUGAGCCUAAGUCGGAUUAGCUAGUUGGUGGGGUAAAGGCCUACCAAGGCGACGAUCUGUAGCGGGUCUGAGAGGAGGGUCCGCCCCACGGGGACUGGGGCCCGGCCCAGACUCCUACGGGAGGCAGCAGUGGGGAAUAUUGGACAAGGGGGGGAACCCUGAUCCAGCCAUGCCGCGUGUGUGAAGAAGGCCUUAUGGUUGUAAAGCACUUUAAGCGAGGAGGAGGCUCUUUUGGUUAAUACCCAAGAUGAGUGGACGUUACUCGCAGAAUAAGCACCGGCUAACUCUGUGCCAGCAGCCGCCGUAA
rnacentral:rRNA from 1 species